rnacentral:rRNA from 1 species
UACGUAGGGUGCAAGCGUUAAUCGGAAUUACUGGGCGUAAAGCGUGCGCAGGCGGUUAUGUAAGACAGUUGUGAAAUCCCCGGGCUCAACCUGGGAACUGCAUCUGUGACUGCAUAGCUAGAGUACGGUAGAGGGGGGUGGAAUUCCGCGUGUAGCAGUGAAAUGCGUAGAUAUCGGGAGGAACACCAGUGGCGAAGGCGGCUUUCUGGCCUGUUCUUGACGCUGAGGCGCGAAAGCUAGGGUAGCAAACGGG